AAUAAAAAGUUCAUACCAAAACCAUCAGGACCCAGCGCUUUAUUGUCGUAACAAGAUUUCAAACCAUUUAAGACCUCUUCAGCAGUGAAUUCUUCUUCCAGUGACUGUCUGCACACGUCAGAUAUUCUGCAAAAAGGAAUACCAUCCAAUUUGGGUAUGAAGGUAUGAUCUUCCCUGUACAGGUUCUUAAAGUGUCUCCUGGCAGCAUCUCUCAAUUCAGAAUUCUCCCAAAUUUUUCUAUUGUCC
rnacentral:lncRNA from 1 species